CUUGUUGCUAUGCCCAAUCACCAAUUCUCUCAGAUAGCCCACUGGGCUAAAAUUUGUUGACAGUCCAGAGAGAGAGAGAGAGAAAUCCCUAUUUUGAGAGAGAGAAGAAAACAGGCAGCUAUCCAAUUCCAUUUCCAUUUUCCAGACAGGAACACGAAGAGUGCAUCUCCUUCACCAUUUCACUCCCGGUCAAAGACUAAUGAAUUGAGUGAAUUAUGUUAAGGAGCAGAUUGAUUUGAAACGGAGUGGAUGGGUCCCCCAUUAGAUUUGCAGGACUUCCUUCUUCGAGCUCGAGUACUUAAGUUAUACAGGCAUGCUCUCAGGAUUGCCAGAAGAGCUCCUACCCAUACUAGAGGUGAGGUGAGUGAGAUUAUAAGGCAGGAGAUGGAGAAGAACAGAAGUUGCAAUGACAAGCAAAGGAUUCGUUUCUUGAUUAGUGAAGGGUUGGAGAGAGUGAAGCGAUUGGAUGAGAUGCUGGAUUUGCAAGGUCGUUAAUGUUGAUUACUUGUUAAUAAAGAUGUUGGGUGGAUUAGCUGGAUACACUUCUUGUAUUCUUUCUUCUUAAGAAACAAAAAAUUGUUGUUACAUCACCAUAGUUAUUUCAUGCUUCAUUAACCAAACAACUGCAGCUUGUAGUGUUGUAUUGGAUAACAAAAUUCAGGAAUUCAUCUUCUGCACACUUCUUGGGCCAAA